UAGGGAAUCUUCCACAAUGGACGCAAGUCUGAUGGAGCAACGCCGCGUGAGUGAAGAAGGUUUUCGGAUCGUAAAGCUCUGUUGUUGGUGAAGAAGGAUAGAGGCAGUAACUGGUCUUUAUUUGACGGUAAUCAACCAGAAAGUCACGGCUAACUACGUGCCAGCAGCCGCGGUAAUACGUAGGUGGCAAGCGUUGUCCGGAUUUAUUGGGCGUAAAGCGAGCGCAGGCGGAAUGAUAAGUCUGAUGUGAAAGCCCACGGCUCAACCGUGGAACUGCAUCGGAAACUGUCAUUCUUGAGUGCAGAAGAGGAGAGUGGAAUUCCAUGUGUAGCGGUGGAAUGCGUAGAUAUAUGGAAGAACACCAGUGGCGAAGGCGGCUCUCUGGUCUGCAACCGACGCUGAGGCUCGAAAGCAUGGGUAGCGAACAGG
rnacentral:rRNA from 1 species